rnacentral:rRNA from 1 species
UACAGAGGUCUCAAGCGUUGUUCGGAUUCAUUGGGCGUAAAGGGUGCGUAGGCGGUGGAGUAAGUCUGAUGUGAAAUCCCGGAGCUCAACUUCGGAACUGCAUUGGAUACUGCUUUACUUGAGUACUGGAGAGGAGAUUGGAAUUUACGGUGUAGCAGUGAAAUGCGUAGAUAUCGUAAGGAAGACCAGUGGCGAAGGCGAAUCUCUGGACAGUUACUGACGCUGAGGCACGAAGGCCAGGGGAGCAAACGGG